UACGAGGGGGGGCGAGCGUUGUUCGGAAUUACUGGGCGUAAAGGGCUCGUAGGCGGCCAACUAAGUCAGACGUGAAAUCCCUCGGCUUAACCGGGGAACUGCGUCUGAUACUGGAUGGCUUGAGGUUGGGAGAGGGAUGCGGAAUUCCAGGUGUAGCGGUGAAAUGCGUAGAUAUCUGGAGGAACACCGGUGGCGAAGGCGGCAUCCUGGACCAAUUCUGACGCUGAGUGAGCGAAAGCCAGGGGAGCAAACGGG
rnacentral:rRNA from 1 species